UUUUAUUUGAGAGUUUGAUCCUGGCUCAGGAUGAACGCUGGCGGCGUGCCUAACACAUGCAAGUUGAGCGAUUUACUUCGGUAAAGAGCGGCGGACGGGUGAGUAACGCGUGGGUAACCUACCCUGUACACACGGAUAACAUACUGAAAGGUAUGCUAAUACGGGAUAAUAUAUUUGAGAGGCAUCUCUUGAAUAUCAAAGGUGAGCCAGUACAGGAUGGACCCGCGUCUGAUUAGCUAGUUGGUAAGGUAACGGCUUACCAAGGCGACGAUCAGUAGCCGACCUGAGAGGGUGAUCGGCCACAUUGGAACUGAGACACGGUCCAAACUCCUACGGGAGGCAGCAGUGGGGAAUAUUGCACAAUGGGCGAAAGCCUGAUGCAGCAACGCCGCGUGAGUGAUGAAGGCCUUCGGGUCGUAAAACUCUGUCCUCAAGGAAGAUAAUGACGGUACUUGAGGAGGAAGCCCCGGCUAACUACGUGCCAGCAGCCGCGGUAAUACGUAGGGGGCUAGCGUUAUCCGGAUU
rnacentral:rRNA from 1 species